rnacentral:rRNA from 2 species
ACUCCUACGGGAGGCAGCAGUGGGGAAUAUUGGACAAUGGGCGAAAGCCUGAUCCAGCCAUGCCGCGUGUGUGAAGAAGGUCUUCGGAUUGUAAAGCACUUUAAGUUGGGAGGAAGGGCAGUAAGCGAAUACCUUGCUGUUUUGACGUUACCGACAGAAUAAGCACCGGCUAACUCUGUGCCAGCAGCCGCGGUAAU